AAUUAGGUUGGAAAGUAUUUCAUCACUUGUAGUUUUUUUUCAGAAGUGUGUCUGAUACAUAAUGUGGAUGGACAAAGCAUGACUAGGAGAGACUGAUUGUCCAGGCCACUCCCUGGACUUUAUACCAAGGCAAGAAGCAAUGGGGGCAGCUUGGACCAGAACCUAUGAAUUCCGAUACCUUUUAAAAACUACUACUGGUAAAUGAAUAUGACUUUAAGUGUAAUAAGUGGAGAUCUUCUUAC